CGUAGGGUGCAGGCGUUAAUCGGAAUUACUGGGCGUAAAGCGUGCGCAGGCGGUUUGCUAAGAGAGAUGUGAAAUCCCCGGGCUUAACCUGGGAACUGCGUUUCUAACUGGCAGGCUUGAGUGUGGCAGAGGGGGGUGGAAUUCCACGUGUAGCAGUGAAAUGCGUAGAGAUGUGGAGGAACACCGAUGGCGAAGGCAGCCCCCUGGGCUAACACUGACGCUCAUGCACGAAAGCGUGGGGAGCAAACAGGAUUAGAUACCCUGGUAGUCCACGCCCUAAACUAUGUCAACUGGUUGUCGGGGAAGCAAUUCCUUGGUAACGAAGCUAACGCGUGAAGUUGACCGCCUGGGGAGUACGGCCGCAAGGUUA
rnacentral:rRNA from 1 species